GAUUUAUACAGAUGAGGGGAGAGACCAGGCUCUGCGAACCUCAGGCAACCUACCCAUUGGCAAGGUGCUACAUCCUGCCCACAGCAUGGUGCUGCUGGGAGAUAUAAACC
rfam:Fibrella aestuarina BTZ 2 drat genome